GGAUUUUCUUAUCUCUCUCUGGAAGCUCUCCAACCUGCUAUUAUGUCACUAAGGUCAAUAACCGUGGGUUUAGGUGUAUCUUAGGUGAAGAUGCGCUGAAACGACUACCUGCAGCUUGUCCUAUGCUAGAGUCAGUAAUUCUUCAUUUUCAGAAUUGUGCAAACUUGGAUGAGCUUUCCUUGCUGGGAUGUAAGCUUCUCAAUUCAGAUUCUCAAAAGAUUAUCUCACAUGGAUGCCCAGGCUUGAUUUCUAUC